rnacentral:rRNA from 1 species
AACGAACGCUGGCGGCGCGUCUUAAGCAUGCAAGUCGAACGGUAAGGGAGAGCUUGCUCUCCCCUAGAGUGGCGGACUGGUGAGUAACGCGUGGGUGACCUGCCCUGAAGAUGGGGAUAGCUAGUAGAAAUAUUAGAUAAUACCGAAUGUGCUCAUUUACAUAAAGGUAAAUGAGGAAAGGAGCUACGGCUCCGCUUUAGGAUGGGCCCGCGUCCCAUUAGCUAGUUGGUGAGGUAAAGGCUCACCAAGGCAACGAUGGGUAUCCGGCCUGAGAGGGUGAACGGACACAUUGGGACUGAGAUACGGCCCAAACUCCUACGGGAGGCAGCAGCUAAGAAUCUUCCGCAAUGGACGAAAGUCUGACGGAGCGACGCCGUGUGAAUGAAGAAGGCCGAAAGGUUGUAAAAUUCUUUUGCAGACGAAGAAUAAACAUAGGAGGGAAUGCCUGUGAGAUGACGGUAAUCAUGCGAAUAAGCCCCGGCUAAUUACGUGCCAGCAGCCGCGGUAACACGUAAGGGGCGAGCGUUGUUCGGAAUUAUUGGGCGUAAAGGGUAUGUAGGCGGUUAGGUAAGCCUGGUGUGAAAUCUACGAGCUCAACUCGUAAACUGCAUUGGGUACUGCUUGACUUGAAUCACGGAGGGGAAACCGGAAUUCCAAGUGUAGGGGUGGAAUCUGUAGAUAUUUGGAAGAACACCGGUGGCGAAGGCGGGUUUCUGGCCGAUGAUUGACGCUGAUAUACGAAGGUGCGGGGAGCAAACAGG